AACGAACGCUGGCGGCAUGCCUAACACAUGCAAGUCGAACGAAGCCUUCGGGCUUAGUGGCGCACGGGUGCGUAACGCGUGGGAAUCUGCCCUUGGGUUCGGAAUAACAGUUAGAAAUGACUGCUAAUACCGGAUGAUGUCUUCGGACCAAAGAUUUAUCGCCCAAGGAUGAGCCCGCGUAGGAUUAGGUAGUUGGUGGGGUAAUGGCCCACCAAGCCGACGAUCCUUAGCUGGUCUGAGAGGAUGAUCAGCCACACUGGGACUGAGACACGGCCCAGACUCCUACGGGAGGCAGCAGUGGGGAAUAUUGGACAAUGGGCGAAAGCCUGAUCCAGCAAUGCCGCGUGAGUGAUGAAGGCCUUAGGGUUGUAAAGCUCUUUUACCAGGGAUGAUAAUGACAGUACCUGGAGAAUAAGCUCCGGCUAACUCCGUGCCAGCCGCCGCCGUAA
rnacentral:rRNA from 1 species